AGAGUUUGAUCCUGGCUCAGAACGAACGCUGGCGGCGUGCCUAAUACAUGCAAGUCGCGCGUGAAAUCCCGAGCAAUCGGGAAGGUAAAGCGGCAAACGGGUGAGUAACACGUAAGCAAUCUUCCUUCAAGUCUGGGAUAACCCUGCCAACGCGGGGCUAAUACCUGAUGUAAUACCAAUGUCGCAUGAUGUUGGUAUUAAAGAUGACCUCUACUUGUACGUUAUCGCUUGGAGAUGAGCUUGCGGCCCAUUAGCUAGUUGGCGGGGUAAUGGCCCACCAAGGCUGUGAUGGGUAUCCGGCCUGAGAGGGUGUACGGACACAUUGGGACUGAGAUACGGCCCAGACUCCUUCGGGAGGCAGCAGUAGGGAAUUUUGCGCAAUGGACGUAAGUCUGACGCAGCAACGCCGCGCGAGUGAUGAAGGUCUUCGGAUUGUAAAGCUCUGUUGAGUGGGAAGAAAAGUCACGUUUCUAAUACAAACGGGGCCUGACGGUACCGCUCGAGGAAGGACCGGCUAACUACGUGCCAGCAGCCGCGGUAAUACGUAGGGUCCAAAGCGUUGUUCGGAAUCACUGGGCGUAAAGGGAGCGUAGGCGGAGCCGUAAGUUAGGAGUGAAAUACCCGGGCUUAACCCGGGCCUUGCUUUUAAUACUGCGGUUCUUGAGUUUGGAAGAGGGAGAUGGAAUUCCAGGUGUAGCGGUGGAAUGCGUAGAUAUCUGGAAGAACACCAGUAGCGAAGGCGGUCUCCUGGUCCUAUACUGACGCUGAGGCUCGAAAGUUAGGGGAGCAAACAGGAUUAGAUACCCUGGUAGUCCUAACUAUAAACUAUGGAUACUAGAUGUUGGGGGAGUCAAUCCUUCCAGUGUCGUCGCUAACGCAUUAAGUAUCCCGCCUGGGAAGUACGCCCGCAAGGGUGAAACUCAAAGGAAUUGACGGGGGCCCGCACAAGCGGUGGAGCAUGUGCUUUAAUUCGAUGCAACGUGAAGAACCUUACCUGGGUUUGACAUGGGAGUGAAAGUUUCCAGAGAUGGGAGCCUUUCCGCAAGGAACACUCCACACAGGUGCUGCAUGGUUGUCGUCAGCUCGUGUCGUGAGAUGUUUGGUUAAGUCCAGCAACGAGCGCAACCCUCGUCCUUAGUUGCCAUCAGGUAAUGCUGGGAACUCUAAGGAGACCGCCUGGUUUAACCAGGAGGAAGGUGGGGAUGACGUCAAAUCAUCAUGGCCCUUACGUCCAGGGCUAGACACGUGCUACAAUGGCCGGUACAAUGGGAUGCAAGACGGCGACGUCAAGCUAAUCCCACAAAACCGGUCUCAGUUCGGAUUGGAGUCUGCAAUUCGACUCCAUGAAGCUGGAAUCGCUGGUAAUCGUGGAUCAGCAUGCCACGGUGAAUACGUUCCCGGGCCUUGUACACACCGCCCGUCAAGCCAUGAAAGAUGGAAGUACCCAAAGUCGCUUCUCUAACCCGCAAGGGAUGAGUGUGCCUAAGGUAAAGCCAUUGAUUGGGGCUAAGUCGUAACAAGGUA
rnacentral:rRNA from 1 species